rnacentral:lncRNA from 1 species
UUGUGCAGGGAUUUUGUAAUGCUAAGGUUUGUUGACAUCGGCGAUACGUCAACCACAAUCCAAUAAACUGACGAUUUUCGUCGGCGCUCGAACAAGAUGACAUGUAGCAGCCUAUUUGAAAAUUUGAGCAAUGCAGCAAUCUUGAUUCGCAACGUCAGAUGAUGGCCACUUGUGAUUUUGAUUACAUGGUUUUAUACAUGUUGAGGUUAAAAACAAUCACUUACUUAUUCAUUGCACACUUUGUUUUCCAUCUGAAUUGGUGUUAAUGCUUUAACUCAUCUUAUUAAUGAUGUUUGGGAAUGCUUAUAUGAACUAAGUUAUUUUCUUCUUUUUAAAAAGCAAUGAAACACUUUGUGCCUGGAAUUGGAAUCUGGAUGAAGAAAAAUACUUAUGAUUUACUUUAUUACUAA